rnacentral:rRNA from 1 species
AAAGCACUUUCAGUAGGGAGGAAGGUAGUGUAGUUACACCUGCACCUAUUUGACGUUACCUACAGAAGAAGCACCGGCUAAACUCCGUGCCAGCAGCCGCGGUAAUACGGAGGGUGCGAGCGUUAAUCGGAAUUACUGGGCGUAAAAGCGCAUGCAGGCGGCCUGUUAAGUCAGAUGUGAAAAGCCCGGGCUUAAACCUCGGAAAUUGCAUUUUGAAAAACUGGCAGGCUAGAGUCUUGUAGAGGGGGUAGAAUUUCAGGUGUAGCGGUGAAAAUGCGUAGAGAUCUGAAGGAAUACCAGUGGCGAAGGCGGCCCCUGGACAAAGACUGACGCUCAGAUGCGAAAGCGUGGGGAGCAAACAGGAUUAGAUACCCUGGUAG